ensembl:lncRNA
AUGCCAACGCUCCGGUGAGCAGCGACAGCCACGGGGACAGCGGUGGAGCCCAUGUGAGUGCCCAGGGUCAGGGUGGGGGUGCCAGGGGGAUGGAUUCUUGUGCUGGGGCAGGGCAGAGGUGCCUGAGGGGGAUCUCUGAUCAGAGCAGGGGGUGUCAGGGAUGGAUCCCUGUGCCAGGGAGGGUCAGGGGGCCAAGCUGGGGCUGUCCCACAGGCACAUUCCGCCCGGCAGGGUUGCAGCACGUCCAUCCCGGGGGAGCCCAAGGUCCCCCAGCUGUCGCUGUCACUGAUCCGUGCCGGUGGGCAGCUCUCCCUGGUGGCACUGACCAACACCCAGCCCGGCCACCAAAGCCCCGCUCAGCACCGAGCCCGGAGCCCAGCGCGGCUCCCUCCGCUGCCGGCACAUCCACCCCGCCCUCGGUGGAUGCUGCGGCCCCAAUCCAGCCCCGAGCGCUGCUCCGGGGGGGAUCCCUCAAGCACAGCCUAGGGGUCCUCUGCCGCCAGCCCCCCCCCCCCCCCCCCGUGUGUGCGCCGGGGCUAACUCGUGGCCAAAUCCAGCUUAAACAGCGUAAAAUGCAGCCCUGUUCUAAGACUGUUGAGGUGAACACACGCCCCAGGCGCUGCAGGAGCCGGGUCGGUGCCUCUCGCUGGGGAAGCACCGGCUCAGCCCCGGGGACGCCCAGAGCAGCGUGUCUCUGUCCCCCCGGCCCGCAGGGAAUAGAGGAGCAGAGCCCCCCGCGCGGUGUCUCCGAGCAGGAGCCGGACAUGCCAGAGCCAGCCCCGCUCGGCGGGGACAGGAAAGCGGCGGAGAAGAAGCGGGUGGAGAAGGUGGGAGCCAAGGGCAGCGCUGCCGGGCCUCCAGUCCCCAGAACCCUCCCCGUGCAGAGCAAGGUGGAGCCGCCCAGCCUGGACCCUGCGGAGGAGCCGCUGCUCUGGGAAGGGCUCACCCUCAACAAGUGCAUCCUGGUGGCCUCCGUGGUCGCCCUGCUCAGCGUCACCUUCCAGGUGCUCCAAGCGCCAUGCUCCAAGGAGGGAAUCGCCCGCGGCCGGCAGGAACCUCCGCCCCCUCCCAUUCCCGAGGUCGUCAGCCCCAAGGUGGAGGAGAUCCCAGAGGUGGUGACGGCCCAGCCUGCGCCGCCGCCGCCGGAGAGCAGCGCGGUGGAGGAUGAUGGUGAUGACGAAGACGGUGACGAUGACAGCGAAGCUGACAGCAACCUGGCAGAACCCUGGAUCUUCAAGAAGUGGUUUGGCCGCACAAUACCAGAGGAUGGGGACAAGGAUGAGGACAAGGAUGAGGAUGAGGACAAGGACGAAGAACCUGCAGAUGUCCCCGAGGUGCCAGUGGCUGUGAUGGAGGGGAAGAAGAGCCAGGAGAAGCAGAAGAAGGUGGAGAAGGAGGAGGAGGAGGAAGAAGAAGAAAAAGAGGAGAAGGAGGAGGAAGAAGAGGAAGAGGAGGAGGAGGAGGAGAAGAAGAAGAAGGAGAAGAAGGAGAAAGCCCGGGAAGGCCGUGCUGUCCGUGCGGAGCGGAGCAGCCGGAGGGACGCACGAGCCAAGGACAGGACACCGUGGGACAAACCCGGCAGAGCCCCCAGGGCCCCCAGGGAACCGGAGCAGCAAGCCCAGAAGAAGCGGGACCGGGAGAGGAAGGAGAGGAAGGAGAGACGGCGGGAGCGGGAUGAGUCCAGGCGGGAGGGGUGGAAGGGCCGUCCCGGCAGGGCUGAGGGCGGCCGGGAGAGCCCGAGGCGGGACCGGAGGCUGCAGAAGGGCAGGAAGCCCUGGGAGCCGGCGCCGGGCAGGGACGGCAGGGCCAGGGAGGGCAAGAGGCGCGACUGA